GGCCCAUGAAGACAAAAGUGCCAAAGCCCAUGUAAGUCAGAAUGCAGCCCUGCAAAGAAUGCAACUGUAGAAAAAAAUGCAAUGAAAACAGAACAAUGUUAUUCAAUUCUAGCAGAUUCUGCCUGCAGAAAUCACUGAACCGAAGCUGCUUCCUUUGUUAUUAAAAAAAGAUUAGCAUGUGCUAGGGAUGAAAGAUGGACUAGCACCAAACUGAUACUUCGUCCUUGAGAAAUCAAGGAGGACUGAAAGAAAUUGGAAAAGGAUUUGUGAUUUAUUGUUAUGCAGUUCCACCUAAAAUUGCUUGAUUCUCCUUCGGUGGGUCCAUGCUGUACUGGGGAAACACUGGAUUUUGAUGAUGAGGAUGGUGACAAUGAUAAUGUUGUGGUCCAAGUGCGUUGUGGCGGCCCAGGGCCCGGGCAGCCUCCUAAACAUGAAUGAAACCCCAGGCACGUGACAGUCUGUUUAAUCAGGACAAAGGUCAAGAAAGAAAACAACCUCUCUUCCUGGAGUGAAGAGAAUGUAAUCACAGAUGUAAAGGGACGAGAGCAGGGUGGCACUGAUUGUAUCUUAGUCUUAAACUUUAAUCUUAGGUGAUGAGCCCCUUUAAUGAUUCUACUAGAGGCCCGAUGUCCUCGCACUAUAUGAAAUGUCUUUGUUCUAAAUCAUAUACAUAUUGUCCCUUGUACUCCCUGCCCCUCUGUGGAGCACUCCCCCUCCAGACCACUACCACCGGGAACUCUCUCUUGUUGGUAAGUUUAAUAAAUCUAUGUCUGCUUCUGUGCCUGGCGUGUUUUUCGGACUCACGGCAGUGCCAGCUGGUGCUCUUCACGAACCCGGUCUGGGCCUGAACAUUUGUUAUGAGUGCUUACCGUAUACCACGCCCUUCAUAUUUAAAAUCUCAUUCAGUCUUCGCAAUGAUUUUUGUUUUUGUUUCUGUUUUAGACAACAGGCAUUUAUUGAGUUGUGGUUUUCAGGCUACUAUAAGAAGUCAAAAUUCAAGAUAUCUGCAAACUUACCUUUCCUGUAGUGUUCUGGCUCUAGCUGCCUGAAAUCUUUGGGGUUCCUCAGCUUUUAUCUCUGUAGGCUGUCACAUGAUGAUAUCCUCUGCUUUCUAAGGCUCUUCUAGUUUCUGCUGACUUCUGGAUUCUUUCAGUGGGGGCGUUCUCUAACUUCUUGCUUCCAGUUUCUUCUCCUCUUAAGGCUUCCUUCUAAUAUGGACUAACACCCAUUCAUCCUCAUUCAGUCAGGCCACACCUCAACUAAAGGUAUCAUCUUCAAGAGACCUCAAAGGAGUUACGGCUCCACAGCCGGGAAAGACGGAAGUUAGCAUUCCACCUUUGCAAGGAUUUCGAGCAGCAAGAUGUCUCUACGACUUCCUCCCACUGUCAUUGAGCCUCCUCUGACCCAGACAGCCCUGUCUCAAAUGAAGUUCCUGCCUCGUCCAGGGAUGGAAGAUGUCAACAUUAUUUCCCCAACCCCCACCCUGUGAAGUUCGUGGAACAGCCCGAGCAGGGACCAGGUGCUGUCAUACUUCCUAAUACAGGUUCACAUCUACAUCUGCGAAGAAUGAAAAAUCCUGAUCUUGGGGAAGAAAGAAAAGGAGAGAGUCUGAGAGAUGGGAAGUUAGCAAGGGCAAGGAAGCUCCAGAGCAGGCAUUCCUUAUAGGAGCCAGACAGCUAAAAGAGAGCAUGAAGUUGGCCAGGUGGGGAGAAAUAGGGAGGGGUGAGGACUGUGGCAAACAGGAGCCCGCAUUCCUGGUCUAAAGGGGCUGCCACCAGAGACCCUGGGCCUAGUAUUGCCAAGAGCUGCAUUUUUAAAGAGAAGCCAGCAAUAAAAAUUUUAAUGUCAACAAGUUUCAGUUUAAAAGAGACAGAAUAUUUUUAAAAUUUAAAUGUUAUUCAUGUUCUAAAUGGUAGUCCAUUUAUAUUGGCCAAAAAUUUAAAAGGAAAUCGAGUUUAUAGUUAAAAAGCUUCCUCUCGAGACCUUCACUGUGGCCUGUACCUUGUAUUCUUCUGGAGAUACAUACAGAAGCAUACACCUAGGCACACAGAAGCAAAGAUUAUCUUUCCUUUAUUUACCUAAAUCGUAAUAUAAUUUUCACACCCUCCUAUAAAUGCUUCUCCCCCUUAAAAUGUAUCUUUAAGGACAUUCUCUCUCAGUACAUGACCAGCCUCCUCAUUCUUGAUUACAGCUGCCUAAUAUUC